rnacentral:rRNA from 1 species
GAAUAGAACGCUGGCGGCGCGCCUAAUACAUGCAAGUCGAGCGAGAAGACGUAGCAAUACGUUUGUAAAGCGGCGAACGGGUGAGGAAUACAUGGGUAACCUACCCUCGAGUGGGGAAUAACUAGCCGAAAGGUUAGCUAAUACCGCGUACGCUUCUUGGACUUCGGUUCAGGGAGGAAAGCGAUGCCGAGGGUAUCGCGCUCUUGGAUGGGCUCAUGUCCUAUCAGCUUGUUGGGAGGUAACGGCUCACCAAGGCUUCGACGGGUAGCUGGUCUGAGAGGACGAUCAGCCACACU